rnacentral:lncRNA from 1 species
GGUCGUCAAGCGGCCACUAGAGCUGGGCUUACUCGUCCAUGGGACCAUCGUCCUAUCCGUGAGCGUACCCGCAGUCCCCCUCCUCUGCCUCGUCGCUCUCCCAGACUGCAUCCCGGAGAGUCUUCUUCCUCACCAGCUGCUCGUGCUCCUCGGCCUAUGGCCACCCUGGAAAGCUUGUCGGAUUCGAUUGAUGAUUUGCGUUCCUCUCUCCGCGAUGGUAUUAUGGUGACAGAUUGGAGAGUCAAUUGCAUGAUCGAUUACAUCUCUGAGAUGAACUGCUCUUUGAUCCGCUGUCACACUGCAAUAAACAAGCUUGCUCAGGAAGUCAAUAAC